rnacentral:rRNA from 1 species
CGAAACUAUUUGAUAUAUUUGUUUUUAGAUCAGAUCUUAUGAGGGGAAAGGGUUUCCUUCAAAAAAUUAUUUAUAGAAUAAAUAUUAUUAUCGGAAAUAGUUAUAGCUUAUAAAGGAGAAAUGAAUUCAAAAAAUUUACAUAGGUAAAGUCUAUGAUUAGGUUAUAGUGUUUGUAAUAACUGUAAAGUAUUUAAGAUGAGAAGUUUCUAAAAUUAAAAAGUGUUUUUACUUUAAUUAAUGUGUUUAGUAUAACUUAUAAAAUUUCUUCUAUUAAAAUUAAUAAAUUAUUAUGCUGGAAUUAGUAAAUGAAUGGAGAUAUAAUAACUAAAGCUUAACUCCAACUGUUUAACAAAAACAUUUCCUUUAUGAAUAUAUUAAAGGUAGAGCCUGCUCAGUGAUAGUAAAUAAUAAACAGCCGCGGUAUCUUAACUGCGCGAAGGUAGCAUAAUUAAUUGUCUUUUAAUUGGUGACUUGUUUGAAUGGCUUAAUGAGGGUUAAACCUUUUUUAUUUCCUAUUGAAUUUAUUAUCUUGGGUCAAAAUACCUAGAUUUAUAAAAAAGAAGAGAAGACCCUGAUGAGUUUUACAAUAUUUAUUGUUUAAAUGGGGCCUUACAAUUUAUUUCAUAUUUGUAUUAGAUCCUACCUUGAGGAAAAAGGACAAAAUUACCACAGGGAUAACAGGACAAAAUUUGCUGGGAGUACUUAUCUAAGCAAGGAACUGUUACCUC